rnacentral:lncRNA from 1 species
ACAAAGCCCAAGUCCAAAAUCAAAAAUAUCAAGAUGUAUUGACAGUUAUUGAACUUGCAAGAUAUAUUCUUUAAGCUUGAUUUGUCCAAAACCAUCUUAAACUUUCAUAAAUCGGAAAAGGUGGGUGGAUUUCCUCCGAUGAUAAAUAAAGAAUGGAAAAAUAUGUAAUGAUAAUUUUGUAUCCCUGGUUACUUCCAAACACUAAAUUAAGAACUGAGACACGUCAUUACCAAGUAUUUUACAAGAUCCAUGAUUAUUUCAUCAUACAGUAAAAUAGCAAUGGAGACAACAACUAAUGAGUAAUGACCAAGGGUCUUUCCAAAACAACCUGCAUCCGAAUAAAUCAUCAACACUAACCAAGGGCCUGAAGCUGCUCGCUGAUUUUCUCCUAUUGGCUCUGCAGCAUGAUUCAGUUAAAACGGACGUUUAGUUCAAAUCCACCAAAAUCCCAAAAGAAAUGCAAAACAUUUUAGUGCAUAUGGUAGACAAAAAAUGCAGUUUCGGCAAUGAAACUACCUUUGCAGGCUUGACGUUUCCUUGCGCGGGGCGGUGGUGAUGCGCGCCACCUUGUUCACCUUGCCGGUCAUCAUGUCCAAUAAACCUAAGAAGGUGGACCAUGUUCAGCAUCUUUUUUGUACUGUGAAAAAUAAUAAUAUGUAUGCUUGUCAAUUAGAGGCCGACAACAACACUUUCUAUUGACUUCAAUAUUUGAAAAUUUAUUUUCUUCCCAUGGGACAUUUUUUGUAUGAAACAGUAUUAGAGAAAUUUAGUUAAACAGACAUUAAUUAUGCUCAUAUCCACCAAAAUCCCAAGGGCAUGCAAAACAUUUGAGUGCAUAUGGUAGAAAAAAAAUACAGUUUUGGCGGCGAAACUACUUUUGCGGGCUUGGCCAGUCCUUGUGCAUGGCGGUGGUCAUGAGCUCCACCGGCUUCGCCUUGCUGGUAAUCGUGCUCAAUAAACCUGGGAGCAAGAAGAUUGAACAUGUUCAUCAUUUUUUGUAGUGUCCAAAAUAAUAAUAUGUAUACUUAUCAAUUAGAGGUCGACAACAACACUUUCUAUUCACAUUUUAAAGUUUAUUUUCUUCCUUAGUAAGAACAAAAAUCAUGCUAGGAAAACAAAUUUUACUCAAUGAUUAGUUUAACUGUUGAGCAAAUAGUUACAGGUUCAGCUGACACCUUUGUGUUUUUGUUACUGAUUUGUAGCUCCUCUCUUUUUCUCUUCUUUGUAGGCUGAGAGUAUAUCCAACCUUUGAUAAAGUUUUGAACGUUGAAAGUUCUGAAUCUAUAUGUUAGAUUUAUUUAGCUUUUUUCUAGGCUGAGAGUAUAUCCACACCCUUUUAAGGCAGUCAAUGGACAGAAAAUUAGUAGAAGAACGGUAGAUAUGGUGUGUUUCAGGAUAUAACUGUAACCGCAAAUGGGGUUUCUUUGAUUCUGAAAGUAUGCAUUGCAAAUGCUCUUGUCAGAAGCAACUCGCUGAGAACCUGUAAUAUUUGUUGCAACAACAGCGACCACAGCGUGGAGCAGAGGAAGAAUAGCCCAGCAAUUGCAUGACCUGCAAACCAAAAAUUAGGACCAAAUUAGAGAGUUCUAUAGGACUUCAAUGGAUGGGAAAUUUCAGGAGAAUCCUUCAAUGUUCAUAAGAAUCCCAAGAAAUAAAACAUAUAGGCUAGUAUCACAUGGAGGCCCAUGCCACAUGACGCCGGAAGCGGGAGGAACGUGCCUCCUUCACGCAUGAACCCUCCGCCGCGCAGCCGCCACGGCACUGUUGCGUGCCCGCGCCAUAAGGCCUGCCACAUGCAGCUUCGCCGCCGAGCCCCUCACACACGUCUCCUCCUCUAUUCUCUCUGUUCUAUUUCUCUUCUGGAGCAGAUUCAUUUAUCUCCCCAUGAUCCAAUCACACUAUCAAAGGUCCUGAUUAUACCACACUCGGUCAAUUACUUUUCACUUUUCUCUCAAGUUUCUCACAUCUCUACUCUGCUUCUCUGAGUCCAAUUGUUUUGGCUGAACAAUUCUUCAGUUAACCUCUACAGUACACAGCUUGUUUCUAUGGACGCCGGGCCAAUAAUUAAUACCUUUUGUUUCGAUUUAAAAUUAUCCAUUAAGACGAAUAUACAGAACAGAAUCAUACAGACACAUAUUAACAGAAAACACAUCUAGGAGUAGAUGGAACUUUAUCUGAAGCCACACAACGCUGACUUCAAUUCAGCCUAGGCAAUCUAACGAAAACUCAGAGAGAUGCCCGUCCAGGUUCCAGGAACUUGGAGGGUUAUACAAGUUGCAGCCAAAUUGGCUUCCAAUUGAAGCAGGAAAGUAGGGAAUACACACACACACAAAAAAUCGAUCUACAUCGCUCGCUAUGGAGGUUCAAGGAUGCGGCUUAGUGAUGAACCUGGUCGCGGCGUCUCCACCUCCGGGUCGCCCAUGUGGCGAGCAGCCCCGACGUAGGCAGGCAGGCACUGUGCUCGCGAUG